rnacentral:rRNA from 1 species
AGUGAACGCUAGUGGCGUGCUUAACACAUGCAAGUCGAACGGACGAUAUUUGUGCUUGCACAAAUAAAGUUAGUGGCAAACGGGUGAGUAAUACAUGAGAAUUUUCCUUGCAGUACGGAAUAACUAUUGGAAACAGUAGCUAAUACCGUAUAUUGCCGAGAGGUGAAAGAUUUAUCGCUGCAAGAUAAGCCCAUGCAAGAUUAGCUUGUUGGUAAGGUAAUGGCUUACCAAGGCUACGAUCUUUAGCUGGUUUGAGAGGAUGAUCAGCCACACUGGAACUUAGACACGGUCCAGACUCCUACGGGAGGCAGCAGUGAGGAAUAUUGCGCAAUGGACGAAAGUCUGACGCAGCCAUGCCGCGUGAAGGAUGACUGCCCUAUGGGUUGUAAACUUCUUUUAUAUACCAAGAAACCUCAGGACGUGUCCUGAGCUGACGGUAGUAUAUGAAUAAGCACCGGCUAACUCCGUGCCAGCAGCCGCCGUAACAC